CAUAGGUUAAUGAGGCGAACCGGGGGAACUGAAACAUCUAAGUACCCCGAGGAAAAGAAAUCAACCGAGAUUCCCCCAGUAGCGGCGAGCGAACGGGGAGCAGCCCAGAGCCUGAAUCAGUGUGUGUGUUAGUGGAAGCGUCUGGAAAGGCGCGCGAUACAGGGUGACAGCCCCGUACACAAAAAUGCACAUACUGUGAGCUCGAUGAGUAGGGCGGGACACGUGGUAUCCUGUCUGAAUAUGGGGGGACCAUCCUCCAAGGCUAAAUACUCCUGACUGACCGAUAGUGAACCAGUACCGUGAGGGAAAGGCGAAAAGAACCCCGGCGAGGGGAGUGAAAAAGAACCUGAAACCGUGUACGUACAAGCAGUGGGAGCACGCUUAGGCGUGUGACUGCGUACCUUUUGUAUAAUGGGUCAGCGACUUAUAUUCUGUAGCAAGGUUAACCGAAUAGGGGAGCCGAAGGGAAACCGAGUCUUAACUGGGCGUUAAGUUGCAGGGUAUAGACCCGAAACCCGGUGAUCUAGCCAUGGGCAGGUUGAAGGUUGGGUAACACUAACUGGAGGACCGAACCGACUAAUGUUGAAAAAUUAGCGGAUGACUUGUGGCUGGGGGUGAAAGGCCAAUCAAACCGGGAGAUAGCUGGUUCUCCCCGAAAGCUAUUUAGGUAGCGCCUCGUGAAUUCAUCUCCGGGGGUAGAGCACUGUUUCGGCAAGGGGGUCAUCCCGACUUACCAACCCGAUGCAAACUGUGAAUACCGGAGAAUGUUAUCACGGGAGACACACGGCGGGUGCUAACGUCCGUCGUGAAGAGGGAAACAACCCAGACCGCCAGCUAAGGUCCCAAAGUCAUGGUUAAGUGGGAAACGAUGUGGGAAGGCCCAGACAGCCAGG
rnacentral:rRNA from 1 species